AUUUAGCUGGCGAGUACCAUAAUAGGAUGAAACGCGCGUCCUAGAU
rfam:Schistosoma haematobium scaffold675_19, whole genome shotgun sequence.